AAUUUCUUGGAUUCAUAAAUGAUAUAAUGAUCUAUUAUCAACUCAACAUAACAUUCAAAAUUGCUUAGUACUGAUACAUUAUCAAAUAAUAAAGACACUGUCUUUGGUGAGGAAGAAUGCAGAAGGAGGCUAUCUCUGAAUAUCAGCAUUAUUGUCUUCAUACACUAGUUCUCUCCAUGUUGUUGGACAUUCAGCUCUGCCCCUGCAUAUAAAAAAGGAAGGACAAACAUGUCAAUUACCAAUCACAAAGUUCCAAGGAAUAUCGAUUAAAUGACUUAACUAAAAUAUAUGUAUUGACAAGGUACCAACCGAGGUCUUUCCCAUUCCCAGGACCCCAUACUUUGUAUUUACCUUCUAAUUAUGGCCAGCAAUUCUCGUCGCCUUUGCUCAAUUCUUCUUCUUCUUCUCCAUGGUAACAUAACCACUACCCUUCUUACUCUUUUUGUCAGUUUUCUUCUCAUUCUUCUUCCUUUCACCCUCCUGUUCACCACCUUCUUUCCCAACUGUUUCAUCACUGCUCUUCUUCUUAUUCUAAUUGUCUUCUUCCUCUUCAAGUUUUCUACCCAUUUUCCCCACCAUUUCUUCACACCACCCAUCUUCUUUGACCACUUUGUCACUUUUCUAGUUCUCAUUCCCAGAGCUUGUUGGUUCUCUCAUAAAACAACGGAAUUUAUAGAUGUAGCAGUUAUAAAGCAAGUCAGUUCUUUGGUAACCUAUGGUAUUAGCUGACUUGCAAGCAUUCCUCUUGUUUUGGAAAUUUAGCGUAUCUGUGUAACUUAACCUGUUAUAGAGAAUUAUUCAUUCUAUAUUUCAUGUUAGCAUAUUACACUUACUUUAAACUGGUAGUUAUAAGACAGGUCAAUAUGGUAGUCUAUUGCAAAUAUAUACGUAAAUACACAAAAGUUAAACGACUUUCUUAAUCAAGUAGAUUUAGCGAUCAGGAAAGCAAAACAGAAAAGGAAAAUAAUUCAAUUAUAUGAGGAGAAAUUUGAGAAGUUUCAAACUUACACCUUAAACUUUAAUAUAGAGAGAAUACUACUUUAUAAUUUUAAGAAAUUGUUUUACUUCUUUGGGUUUAAUUUUUAUACGCUGAUAUAGUAAUCAAUUUUGUAUGAUAGAUUUUUUUUGGUUUCCCACCCAGUAUUUGGUACCCGCUUUAGGACUAGGCUAAUCCGGAUUCACACCGGAAAGUCCCAUUUUGGUGGGACAAAGGGCUCCCUACCAAAGGCAACUCCACUCCCAUGGCUCGAACUCGAGACCUUUGAUUAAGGAUAGAGGAGUACUUAUAACUCCACCACAAACUUUGGUGCUUUUUAUGGUAGAUCACUUAAAGUUAAAGUGAGAAAACAUAAAUUUUUUAAUACUUGACUUAUUGCACUGUUCCAGUUUUUGGUACCCGAUGAAUAAUUUUAACAUUCAAUUAACUCAAAAGUGAUUUCAAUUUCUGAAGUUCCAAAGUUAAAUGUUCUUGAUUUGAAGUUUUACCGCAUCUCAAUAUAUUAACUUAUUAUAUUAAAUUAUUUACUCUAUAAUUCAUGUUAAUAUAUUAGACUUACUCUUAGGUUGAUGUAAAUUAGUUUAAUAUGAUAGUGUAGAAAAAUAUACACGUCAAUACACAUAAGCUAAAAGUUUUUCUUAAUCAAUUAUAUUUAGCUAUUGAGAAAGGAAAAUUAAAAAUGCAAAUAAGUUAAUUCUACAAGGACAAAAUUGAAAUAAUUGGCUGAACCGAUCCAUUGACACCCCAAGAUACUAGGAUAUAGAAAGGCGUUUCUCAUAGCCGUGGUUGAUGGAUAUUGAGCUCGUACUUGUUUACCGUACUUAUGGAUGAGCUAACUAACAAUCAUUUUCAGACAAAUUUGUUAACCAGCAAAAAUUGCAAGUUUAUCAACUAAAAGCUUGAACUAUGGAGAAGCGCUUUAGAGAGAAAAGGUUUUAGAAUAAGUAGAAGUCCAACUGAAUGUACAUUUUAGCCAAAAAAGAAAAAGUGAAGCUGAGAUGAGAACAGACGGGAUUGCGGUGCCUAAAUGUAAACAAUUCAGAGAUCUCGAUGUUCCAAGAGAACGGUAUGAUUGAUGAAGAUAUUACACAUAAAAUCAAAAUAGGAUGGUUGAAAUGGAAUGGCGGCAGGAGUGUUAUUUGAUAGGAGGAUUUACCUACCAAUGAAAGGCUAGUUCCCAUAGAAUAGUAGUAACGGCAAUAUUAUAAGGGAGUGAAUGUUGGGGGUUCAACAUAUCCAGAAGAUGGGUAGAGCAUAAAUGCUGAUUUUAGGAUGGAUAUGCUGUCAUACACGUUACACAAAAUUAACGUGUAAGUAGCACCCAUGGAGGAUAAAAUAAGAGAAGAUUGUUUGUGAUGAUUUAGAGAGGUCAUACAACCACCUUUAGAUGCAUUGGAUUGUAGGUGUGACAUAUGGUGACCGGAGGUGUUUAAAUGGACGAGAUAGACCUAAAAUCACAUAAAAUGAAAUUGCCUAAAAAGACAUUGCAGCUGAUAAUUAUACCUAUUUAAAUUCUACUUUAUUUCUCCCCACCAAAAAAAGGAGAAAAAAAAAGCUGCAGCUGAUGAUUGUACCUACCUUCAGUCGGACCUCCAACCAUCAAUCACCCACCACGAUGCUAGAAGCCUGCCUUCAGGAUUGAUAUCUGUGUUGCCUAUACUUGAUCUUCUGACCCACCAUAGUCUGAAUCCCUGGAUCUCUUUACAAUCAAAUAUCAUUUCCUGAAAGCAAGUUUAUUCAUCUCAUUCCCAAUCAAAUUCUCAGCUUGAGAUUUGUCAUGUUGAAAAUCCAAAGAGAUAAACUGCCAACACCAUUGAAAAUGUUCGAGGGUUCAAAAACAAUCUGUAAUUCUG
rnacentral:lncRNA from 1 species